UUGAAUGAUUCUAAAUAUCCUGCUUUGAGCGCUGCUGUUGGGUGCUUUGAGGGGACCUCAAGUAAGCUCCGUUUUUGAAACAUGGAUGCAGUGACUUAUGAUGAUGUGCAUGUGAACUUCACUGGGGAAGAGUGGGAUUUGCUGGAUUCUUCCCAGAAAAGUCUCUAUGAAGAGGUGAUGUUGGAGACCUACCAGAACAUCACUGCUA
rnacentral:lncRNA from 1 species